UACGGGGGGGGCAAGCGUUGUUCGGAAUUACUGGGCGUAAAGGGCUCGUAGGCGGCCUUCUAAGUCGAACGUGAAAUCCCCGGGCUCAACCCGGGAACUGCGUCCGAUACUGGGAGGCUUGAAUCCGGGAGAGGGAUGUGGAAUUCCAGGUGUAGCGGUGAAAUGCGUAGAUAUCUGGAGGAACACCGGUGGCGAAGGCGGCAUCCUGGACCGGUAUUGACGCUGAGGCGCGAAAGCCAGGGGAGCAAACGGG
rnacentral:rRNA from 1 species